rnacentral:rRNA from 1 species
GAUGAACGCUGGCGGCGUGCCUAACACAUGCAAGUCGAGCGGCAGCGAGGGGUGCUUGCACCUUGUCGGCGAGCGGCGGACGGGUGAGUAACGCGUGGGAACGUGCCCCAAAGUGAGGAAUAACUGCCCGAAAGCGUAGCUAAUACCGCAAAUUAUCUUCGGAUCAAAGGAUUUAUUCGAUUUGGGCGCGAGUCGCGUCGGUUUUGGUAGUUGGUGAGGUAAUGGCUCAACAAGGCGACGAUCCGUAGCUGGUCUGAGAGGAUGACCAGCCAGACUGGAACUGAGACACAGUCCAGACUCCUACGGAAGGCAGGAGAGUGUAAUCUACCACAACGGACGGAAGGCUGAUGGACCAACGCCGCGUACAGGCCGUAAGCCUUCGAGAAGUAAACUGCUUUUAUAAUUGAGGAAUAUGACGGUAACUUAUAAAUAAGGAACGGCUAACUACGUG